rnacentral:lncRNA from 1 species
UGGUCCCUGAACUUCUUUGUUGCUUCUCUUGACUUCUUUCUUCGAUUUCUUCAUCUUUUCAACCAAUUUUAUCUUCCAAUUGAUGAUUGAUACCAUCAAUUCUUAUGCCCCUCAUUCGGCAUAUCUUUUGAGUAUUUGUGCUUUAGUCCUCCAACUUUCAAUUGUCUUCAUUUCAGUCCCUCUUCAAUAUUUUCUUCUUCCAUUUGUUUUGCUUUGUCAUUGAGCUCAUACUUGGCAUGUUUUCCCUCUCGUUUUGCAUUUAGCUCAACUUUUCAAUAAUUGCACCUUUGGUCCUCGAACUAUCAAAUUGUUGCUUUUUGGUCCUUCUUCGGCUCUUUUCUCCUGAAUUCCACAAUUUCCAUUGAAUUACCU